GACGAACGCUGGCGGCGUGCCUAAUACAUGCAAGUAGAACGCUGAAGGAGGAGCUUGCUCUUCUGGAUGAGUUGCGAACGGGUGAGUAACGCGUAGGUAACCUGCCUGGUAGCGGGGGAUAACUAUUGGAAACGAUAGCUAAUACCGCAUAAGAGUAGAUGUUGCAUGACAUUUACUUAAAAGGUGCAAUUGCAUCACUACCAGAUGGACCUGCGUUGUAUUAGCUAGUUGGUGGGGUAACGGCUUACCAAGGCGACGAUACAUAGCCGACCUGAGAGGGUGAUCAGCCACACUGGGACUGAGACACGGCCCAGACUCCUACGGGAGGCAGCAGUAGGGAAUCUUCGGCAAUGGACGGAAGUCUGACCGAGCAACGCCGCGUGAGUGAAGAAGGUUUUCGGAUCGUAAAGCUCUGUUGUAAGAGAAGAACGAGUGUGAGAGUGGAAAGUUCACACUGUGACGGUAUCUUACCAGAAAGGGACGGCUAACUACGUG
rnacentral:rRNA from 1 species